AGUGAACGCUGGCGGUAGGCCUAACACAUGCAAGUCGAACGGCAGCACAGUAAGAGCUUGCUCUUACGGGUGGCGAGUGGCGGACGGGUGAGGAAUACAUCGGAAUCUACUUUUUCGUGGGGGAUAACGUAGGGAAACUUACGCUAAUACCGCAUACGACCUACGGGUGAAAGCAGGGGAUCUUCGGACCUUUCGCGAUUGAAUGAGCCGAUGUCGGGUUAGCUAGUUGGCGGGGUAAAGGCCCACCAAGGCGACGAUCCGUAGCUGGUCUGAGAGGAUGAUCAGCCACACUGGAACUGAGACACGGUCCAGACUCCUACGGGAGGCAGCAGUGGGGAAUAUUGGACAAUGGGCGCAAGCCUGAUCCAGCCAUACCGCGUGGGUGAAGAAGGCCUUCGGGUUGUAAAGCCCUUUUGUUGGGAAAGAAAAGCAGCAGGUUAAUACCCCGCUGUUCUGACGGUACCCAAAGAAUAAGCACCGGCUAACUUCGUG
rnacentral:rRNA from 1 species